UACGUAGGGUGCAAGCGUUAAUCGGAAUUACUGGGCGUAAAGCGUGCGCAGGCGGCGCGUUAAGACAGGUGUGAAAGCCCCGAGCUUAACUUGGGAAUUGCGCUUGUGACUGGCGUGCUGGAGUGUGGCAGAGGGAGGUGGAAUUCCGACGUGUAGCAGUGAAAUGCGUAGAGAUGUGGAGGAACACCGAUGGCGAAGGCAGCCCCCUGGGAUAACACUGACGCCUCAUGCACGAAAGCGUGGGGAGCAAACAGG
rnacentral:rRNA from 1 species